AAAUUAAAAAAAAAACAAGAAGAAAAAGAAGCUGAAUUCUACCAAAAACAAGAUUGUUUACGUGUGAUCUUGAAUUUCUUAGGAAAUCUAGAGGAUGUAGGAGUCGAUGCAAUAGUGAGAACUAUUGGUAAGCUCACUGAUUUAGAGCAGAAAGAUAUAUUAAAUUCCAGAGCCAGUACUUUAAAGAAAUCGCUUCCAUCACUGGUGUAAUAUCAAUACACGCAAUAAAAUAAGGUGUCUGGAGUACACCUGGAAAAAAACGACGUCAUAAACCAACAGUGUCUCAUUUGGUCAAUUUUGACAUGGAUACUAUUCCCAACAAAAUAAAUGAAUUUUAUAAUGUUACAAAACAAGUCCUAAUAUUGAGAACACUUGCUGGAAUUAAGAGAAAGCAUAGGAUUUACUGGAUGUCGGGAAAAUCUUCGCCGAAUAUUAUUGGCUAAUGGCUAUGAAUUUAAGAAAAAAAAAAAUGAAUGUUCUUUGUUAAUUACAUGACAUUAAUAAAAUGACAUAUCCUGGCCAUGAGACAUUACUAUUUAAGAUCUAUAUCAUUGGAAUGUGCAGAAAGAUAGCCAAUAAUUUAUUUAGAUGAAAAUUAUGUCCAUAAAAACUACAAGCCCAAAAAAUUGUGGCAAGGUCCCUCUUCAAGUGGUGUUAUUGAAAAUAUUUUAUCUGGAAAAAAGUACAUAAUUGUAUAAGCCGGGUCGGAGAAAAGUCCUGUGCUGAACUCAUUAUAAGUAUUUAGCACUGAAUGAAAAAUGUCCAUGAUAUGAACGCUGCCAACUUCAAUAAGUGGUUUGAAGAAAAGCUCCUACCCAAUUUAAAUGAGCCAAGUGUAAUUGUUAUGGACAAUGCCAGUUACCAUUCUGUUAUAGUAAAUAAAGCCCCUACGACUCAGAAUCGCAAACAUGAGAAGGUGAAUAGCUAUGGUAUAUGGUACUCUUCAAUUUGAAUAAUAUUCAAUUUGAAGAGUACCAUAUGAAAGCAGAGCUGCUAUGUCUAGUAAAACAGUAUAAACCAGAGCCAAUAUAUGAAGCCGAAGAAAUUUUAAAGCACAAUGGUCCUGAGGUAUUGAGUCUACCUUCAUACUAUUGUGAUCUAAGUGCCAUUGAGCUGGUAUGGAGUCUGGCAAAACGCAGGGUAGCAAAUAAAAAUAUUAAAUUGAGUACAGAGCAGUUAAAACAAGUGAUUAAAACAGUCAUUUGAAAAUGUAACAGCAGAAGAGUCGAAGAAAAUGAUUGUUCAUGUUGUACAUGUGGAAAAUAAAUAUAAAGAAAGGGACAGGACUACAGAGGAACAUUUAGAAAGUUUCAUAAUUAAUGUGAGAGACAGUGAUAACAGCAAUGACUCUGA